rnacentral:rRNA from 1 species
GAUGAACGCUGGCUACACGCUUAACACAUGCAAGUCGAGGGGAAACGACGGGGAAGCUUGCUUCCCCGGGCGUCGACCGGCGCACGGGUGAGUAACGCGUAUCCAACCUGCCUCUGACUGAGGGAUAACCCGUCGAAAGUCGGCCUAAUACCUCAUGGCAUCGUCUGCGGGCAUCCAACGACGAUUAAAGAUUUCAUCGGUCAGAGAUGGGGAUGCGUCUGAUUAGCUUGUUGGCGGGGUAACGGCCCACCAAGGCGACGAUCAGUAGGGGUUCUGAGAGGAAGGUCCCCCACAUUGGAACUGAGACACGGUCCAAACUCCUACGGGAGGCAGCAGUGAGGAAUAUUGAUCAAUGGGCGAGAGCCUGAACCAGCCAAGUAGCGUGCAGGAUGACGGCCCUAGGGGUUGUAAACUGCUUUUAUGCGGGGAUAAAGUGAGGGACGUGUCCUUCAUUGCAGGUACCGAAUGAAUAAGGACCGGCUAAUUCCGUG